AGAAUACACGGCAUUAGAGGCUCGAAGAAUAUGAUAUUUUUCCGGAGAUCAGAACUGUGCUUCUUUUGGUUGCACAAUUCUUCAUCUAACAUGUGUAACUUUAUGCACAACAGAGGAAAACAGAAAGUUCUUGUCCAAAAAACUGAUAAGUCGGACAGCAUUUCAAAUAACCCAAAUGUCAAAUUCUUUAGGAUGGACCUACAGAAUUGUUCUCGGGUCAUCAAGCUA